AUUUACAGACAUGGUCAUGUGAUUAAGAAGUUUAUUUUGCAACCAUGUGGCUUUGGUUCAAGUCCCUGCCAUGUGCCACUUUGGCAGAAAAUUUAUUCCGAAGUGAAUUUAUUGACAGAAUGUAUCUUCAUCAUUACAAAUACAAGCCCUGGAAUUGUCAUCACUUGGAAAAACUGGAAUGACAGAUGUUGUAUCGUAUCCUUUUAGAUCGAAAAUAUACCAACGAAAUGAGAUUCCUCUUUUUGUAUAUUAUUACAUAAUAUUGGUUAAUUUACUCUGUUUCUCUCUGUGGAACUAUUAUUGUUUGAUGUGGCAUACAAACUAGCUAGCUUACGGAAAGACUUCCCUUUAUUUUUAUUGUUACUGUAGGAACAGUAAAUCUAGUGCAGAGAACAGGUAACUGCUUUCCAUGCCGUCUCUGUUAAGUGGCGUUCAGUCGUCCGUUUUUGGAUAAAUCUAAAAUAUAUACUUUCAAAAUGAGCUUGCUCCAUUCAUGUUUUUAAAAGCGCUCUAUGAUGGGACUGAACCAAGGUCUUAUGCAAUAAUGUAACCUGGACUAUUCCUGUUUGUUGAUAUUCCUUUACAUGAUUAAUCUACUUAACAAAAGUCUUUGAUAUUGUAACUUUCUACUUAAUUUUUAUCAGCUCUUUACAUCACAGAUUCAAAUCCUGACUUUCAUCCCUCUGGGGUCGAUAAAAAUCUACCCAGUGAAAUACUAGGUCGAUUUAGUCGAGUAACCCCCUCCACCACAAAUUACUGACUUAGUGCUAGCAGUUACUUAUUGUAGUAAAGUUUUGUUAAAGUAAAUAGUUUUGAUUGUUUGUGCAGGUGGCACGUAAAAAAACACCUUUUUGAGCGU
rnacentral:lncRNA from 1 species